CUCUUAUCCAGAGUGGUGGAGGGACUGGCCCGAUGAAACCCGGCAACCGCCUGAAAGGUAUGGUGCCAAAUCCUGCAGGAGGAUCCUGGCAGAUGAGAG
rnacentral:ncRNA from 22 species